UGCCAGCAGCCGCGGUAAUACGUAAGUCGCAAGCGUUAUCCGGAAUUAUUGGGCGUAAAGCGCGUGUAGGCGGUUCGUUAAGUCUGAUGUGAAAGCCGGGGGCUCAACCUCGGAAGUGCAUUGGAAACUGGCGAACUUGAGUACGGGAGGGGAAAGUGGAAUUCCGAGUGUAGGGGUGAAAUCCGUAGAUAUUCGGAGGAACACCAGUGGCGAAGGCGGCUUUCUGGACCGAUACUGACGCUGAGACGCGAAAGCGUGGGGAGCAAACAGGAUUAGAUA
rnacentral:rRNA from 1 species